rnacentral:tRNA from 1 species
CCUUCGAUAGCUCAGUUGGUAGAGCGGUGGACUGUAGCGAAAGUUGAUCGACUUGAACUGAACUGAACACCCGAAAUUCGAUGGAGUGGGACUCAAGUCGACGAUUGAAAUAGUUAUCCAUAGGUCACUGGUUCAAAUCCGGUUCGAAGGA